UCUACAACUCGAGAUAUGGGCUGAACACUGAAUAGUAUCUGGGCUACAGGACAGAUUCUGAUUUCUCUAUUGUUGUUACAAUUUGAACUUGAAAACGGUCCUUUUGAAUCUUGGACUCUUCAUGAAAGUUUUAGGCCUAUGUCUUAGCUUUCCAUA
rfam:Populus trichocarpa scaffold_13_contig_100, whole genome shotgun sequence.